rnacentral:rRNA from 1 species
UACGUAGGGUGCGAGCGUUAAUCGGAAUUACUGGGCGUAAAGCGUGCGCAGGCGGUUAUUUAAGUCAGGUGUGAAAGCCUGGGCUUAACCUAGGAAUUGCGCUUGAGACUGGAUAGCUUGGAGUGCGGCAGAGGGAGGUGGAAAUUCCACGUGUAGCAGUGAAAUGCGUAGAGAUGUGGAGGAACACCGAUGGCGAAGGCAGCCUCCUGGGCCAGCA